UAACACAUGCAAGUCGAACGCGAAAGGGCGUUUCGGUGCCUGAGUAGAAUGGCGCACGGGUGAGUAACACGUAGACAACGUGCCUUCCGGUUCGGGACAACCUUUAGAAAGAAGGGAUAAUAGCAGGAUGACAUCAAGGCCUCGUAUGGGACUUUGUUGAAAGGGCCUACCUACCGGAAGAGGGGUGUUCGGGACAUUAGCUUGUUGGUGGGGUAAUGGCUAGCCAAGGCGAUGAUGUCUAGCGGGUAGUGAGAGGAUGAUCCGCACAUCACCUGGAUACCUGAGACACGGUCCCAGACUGAUAGAGGGAGAGCACUCAGUGGGGAAUUUUGGGCAAUGGGAGAAAGCUAGAUUCAGCAAGGUCAGUGUGGAUGAAGAAGGCAUGUGGGUAGUAAAGCCUUAUUCUGGGGGAAGAUCGGAGUCGGUACCGCAGGAAUAAGCAUCGGUUAACUCGGAGCCAGCAGCC
rnacentral:rRNA from 1 species